rnacentral:rRNA from 1 species
ACGGGAGGCAGCAGUGAGGAAUAUUGGUCAAUGGGCGUAAGCCUGAACCAGCCAAGUAGCGUGAGGGAUGACUGCCCUACGGGUUGUAAACCUCUUUUGUUUGGGAAUAACAGGGGCUACGCGUAGCCCUGUGCAUGUACCUUUCGAAUAAGCAUCGGCUAAUUCCGUGCCAGCAGCCGCGGUAAUACGGAAGAUGCGAGCGUUAUCCGGAUUUAUUGGGUUUAAAGGGAGCGUAGGCGGCCUUUUAAGUCUGCGGUCAAAUGUCAGGGCCCAACCUUGGCAUGCCGUGGAUACUGAUGGGCUUGAAUACACGCAAGGCAAGUGGAAUUCGUCGUGUAGCGGUGAAAUGCUUAGAUAUGACGAAGAACUCCGAUUGCGAAGGCAGCUUGCUGGGGACUUAUCGACGCUCAUGCUCGAAAGUGCGGGUAGCAAACAGGAUUAGAUACCCUGGUA